GAUGAACGCUGGCGGCGUGCCUAACACAUGCAAGUCGAACGGAGAUUACGGACGGAAGUUUUCGGAUGGAAGCCUGUAAUUCUUAGUGGCGGACGGGUGAGUAACGCGUGGGCAACCUGCCCUAUACAGGGGGAUAGCAGCUGGAAACGGCUGGUAAGACCGCAUAAGUCGGUUAAAUCGCAUGAUUUGAUCGGGAAAUGAGCAAUCAGGUAUAGGAUGGGCCCGCGUCCGAUUAGCCAGUUGGCAGGGUAAAAGCCUACCAAAGCGACGAUCGGUAGCCGGACUGAGAGGUCGGACGGCCACAUUGGGACUGAGACACGGCCCAAACUCCUACGGGAGGCAGCAGUGGGGGAUAUUGCACAAUGGAGGAAACUCUGAUGCAGCGACGCCGCGUGAGGGAAGAAGUAUUUCGGUAUGUAAAGCUCUAUCAGCAGGGAAGAUGAUGACGGUACCUGACUAAGAAGCCCCGGCUAACUACG
rnacentral:rRNA from 1 species